UACGUAGGGUGCGAGCGUUGUUCGGAAUUACUGGGCGUAAAGGGCUCGUAGGCGGCCAACUAAGUCAGACGUGAAAUCCCUAGGCUCAACCUAGGAACUGCGUCUGAUACUGGAUGGCUUGAAUCCGGGAGAGGGAUGCAGAAUUCCAGGUGUAGCGGUGAAAUGCGUAGAUAUCUGGAGGAAUACCGGUGGCGAAGGCGGCAUCCUGGACCGGCAUUGACGCUGAGGAGCGAAAGCUAGGGGAGCAAACGGG
rnacentral:rRNA from 1 species